AUUGAACGCUGGCGGCAGGCCUAACACAUGCAAGUCGAGCGGAUGAAGGGAGCUUGCUCCUGGAUUCCGCGGCGGACGGGUGAGUAAUGCCUAGGAAUCUGCCUGGUCGUGGGGGAUAACGUCCGGAAACGGGCGCUAAUACCGCAUACGUCCUGAGGGAGAAAGUGGGGGAUCUUCGGACCUCACGCUAUCAGAUGAGCCUAGGUCGGAUUAGCUAGUUGGUGGGGUAAAGGCCUACCAAGGCGACGAUCCGUAACUGGUCUGAGAGGAUGAUCAGUCAAACUGAAACUGGGACACGGUCCAGACUCCUACGGGAGGCAGCAGUGGGGAAUAUUGGACAAGGGGCGAAAGCCUGAGCCAGCCAGGCCGCGGGUGUGAAGAAGGUCUUCGGAUUGUAAAGCACUUUAAGUUGGGAGAAAGGGCAGUAAGUUAACACCUUGCUGUUUUGACGUUACCAACAGAAUAAGCACCGGCUAACUUCGU
rnacentral:rRNA from 1 species